rnacentral:rRNA from 1 species
ACAUUUUAGUCNAACGUGNAGCCACCUUCGGGUGGUGGAAAGUGGCGGACGGGUGAGUAACGCGUGGGAACGUGCCUUUCGGUUCGGGAUAACCCAGGGAAACUUGGGCUAAUACCGGAUACGCCCUCCGGGGGAAAGAUUUAUCGCCGAAAGAUCGGCCCGCGUCGGAUUAGCUAGUUGGUGGGGUAAUUGCCUACCAAGGCGACGAUCCGUAGCUGGUCUGAGAGGAUGAUCAGCCACACUGGGACUGAGACACGGCCCAGACUCCUACGGGAGGCAGCAGUGGGGAAUAUUGGACAAUGGGCGCAAGCCUGAUCCAGCCAUGCCGCGUGGGUGAAGAAGGCCCUAGGGUUGUAAAUCCCUUUCAGCGGGGAAGAUAAUGACGGUACCCGCAGAAGAAGCCCCGGCUAACUCCGUGCCAGCAGCCGCGGUAAUACGGAGGGGGCUAGCGUUGUUCGGAAUUACUGGGCGUAAA